rnacentral:rRNA from 1 species
GACGAACGCUGGCGGCGUGCUUAACACAUGCAAGUCGAACGGAAAGGCCCUGCUUUUGUGGGGUGCUCGAGUGGCGAACGGGUGAGUAACACGUGAGUAACCUGCCCUUGACUUUGGGAUAACUUCAGGAAACUGGGGCUAAUACCGGAUAGGAGCUCCUGCUGCAUGGUGGGGGUUGGAAAGUUUCGGCGGUUGGGGAUGGACUCGCGGCUUAUCAGCUUGUUGGUGGGGUAGUGGCUUACCAAGGCUUUGACGGGUAGCCGGCCUGAGAAGGUGACCGGGCAGAAGGGGGUGAAGGUACAGCAGAGGCGGAGACGGGAGGCAGCAGUGGGGAGUAGGGAAGAACGGGCGGAAGUGGGAGGCAGGAACGUGGGGGGGGGGAGGAGGGCCUGGGGGGAGUAAACAGAAGGCGCCGGUGACGAAGCGGGAGAGACGGUGAGGGGGAAAGAAGCACCGGCGAACUACGUG